GGGGUUGUGGCUCAGUGGUAGAGCGCUCAGUGGUACGUGCGAGACCCUGGGUUCGAGCCUCAGCACCACA
rnacentral:tRNA from 1 species